rnacentral:rRNA from 1 species
GGGGACGGGUGAGUAAUGCCUAGGAAUCUGCCUAGUAGUGGGGGACAACGUUUCGAAAGGAACGCUAAUACCGCAUACGUCCUACGGGAGAAAGUGGGGGAUCUUCGGACCUCACGCUAUUAGAUGAGCCUAGGUCGGAUUAGCUAGUUGGUAGGGUAAAGGSCUACCAAGGCGACGAUCCGUAACUGGUCUGAGAGGAUGAUCAGUCACACUGGAACUGAGACACGGUCCAGACUCCUACGGGAGGCAGCAGUGGGGAAUAUUGGACAAUGGGCGAAAGCCUGAUCCAGCCAUGCCGCGUGUGUGAAGAAGGCCUUCGGGUCGUAAAGCACUUUAAGUUGGGAGGAAGGGCUCAUAGCGAAUACCUGUGAGYUUUGACGUUACCAACAGAAUAAGCACCGGCUAACUUCGUGCCAGCAGCCGCGGUAAUACGAAGGGUGCAAGCGUUAAUCGGAAUUACUGGGCGUAAAGCGCGCGUAGGUGGCUUGAUAAGUUGGAUGUGAAAUCCCCGGGCUCAACCUGGGAACUGCAUCCAAAACUGUCUGGCUAGAGUGCGGUAGAGGGUAGUGGAAUUUCCAGUGUAGCGGUGAAAUGCGUAGAUAUUGGAAGGACACCAGUGCGAAGGCGACUACCUGGACUGACCUGACCUGAAGUGCGAAGCGUGGGARCCAACAGGAUUUAAAACCCUUGGUWRAUUUCACAG